rnacentral:lncRNA from 1 species
CCAUCUGCAUCCACCUCAUUGAUCAUAUCCUGCAGCUCUGCUUCAGUGGGGUUCUGUCCCAGGGAUCUCAUCACUGUCCCCAACUCCUUGGUGGUGAUAGUGCCAUCUCCAUCCUUGUCAAAGAGGGAGAAGGCCUCCUUGAACUCUGGGGGAAGAAGGGGGAGGAGUCAGAGGUCACAAGGUCCACAGGAGAAUCCUUACCUCUGGAUGCUGGAUGCCUUCCCUGGAGGAAGGCCAAGGGCAUCAGUCCCACCUAAAGAAACUGAGACAGACUUCAAGUCCCACGCAACCAGCUCUCUCUCCUCAGUGCUCAGGGCAAAGCCCUUCCAACCUUCAUUCAACAGUUAUUGAACAUCAACACUGUGCUAGGUGAAGCUAUUUUUCUGGCCAGCCAGUGAAGACAGUGGGGAAAAUGGUCUGACAGCUGUCCUUAGAUGAUUCUACAUUUCUGUUUGGUCCCUGGCUUUGACUUCUCCCUUGAAAUGAUGAAAUGAACCAAAGUCAUGGAGUGAAUGAGAGCCGAAAGGAUUCUUUGUCUGAGUGUGUUAGCCAGGGUUGGCUGGCUGGGACGAGGAG